CAGGUGAGAACAGGUGAGCUCAGGUGGGUUCAGAUGAGUUCAGGUGAGGACAGAUGAAUUCAGGGGAGGACAGGUGAGCUCAGGGGGGCUCAGGUGGGUUCAGAUGAGUUCAGGUGAGGGCAGAUGAAUACAGGUGAGGACAGGUGAGCUCAGAGGGGCUCAGGUGAGGACAGG